AUAAUCUUUCUGUAGCUUAAAAAUGCAAUAUAAUGCGUUAUAUGUUUUCCUCAAUAAAGUACCAACCCAAAACGCCCUGUCAUCUGCCCCACCAGAGCCAAAAAUCUACUAACUCACUAUUGACUUUGUUUCUGCCCUUUCGAAAUUGCUGCCUUGUUUUCGCAAUUUUUAAGUGACAUUCAAAAUUAUGGUGAGUGUCAUGCUUGUGAUAACGAGAAAUAAAAGUUAUAUUAAAAAAUGAAUUCAUGCUUUUGGUAGUGCUAUUAUUUCUUUUUACGCGCAAAUGUUAUGAAAAGUUAAAACUUUUUGACCUUUUCCAAAAACAACAAAAUGGUAAUUAAAAAGUGCACAGGAACGGUAAAAUCAUCACCUUUGAAAACAAUUCAUUUUGUUAUCGUGUCAUGGUUUCAUACAAGAAUAGAGACACUAAACUUUGGAUAUGUUGGUAUCCUCGACUUCGACUCAGACAAUAGCAAACUAAAAUGUUAGGAUAGAUCUCCCAAAAACACAGAGCACAUAUAUCGCAAACUAGACCCACAACAAAUACAUCCGUAGUGGAGAGAUAUUGCCUUUACAAUCUUACAACAGGUACAUUUUAAGUGUAUGCAAAAUGCUAAACAACGGUAUGGAGUAGAAAGAAGCAAGGAGGAAUAUUAGACAAGGAAAGUCACGCUCUAAAUUCGCAGCAUCAAGUGUGCAUGUAUUGAGAAAUAAAAUAGCUUAAGAAUUGCGGAACAUGUUCCGCCAGACAAAUCGAUUUUAGGUGAUAAUAUACCGAUGGUUUUACAAUCAUAUUCGGAAUUAAGCAUUUGCAGAUGACGGAAUAGAAUAUAUUUAGAUAGUAAUGCAAACAUAAUGUAUUUGAGGACAUUGAUUUACGUCUCACAUUUGAUGAGAUAAGAAAAGCAGUUAAAAAGUUGGGCGCAAAUAAAGCCAUCUCUUUUUAGUCAUAUUAUGUAAAGGUACUUUGUUCUAGACAAACCAUUAGAUAUAAUAGUAACUUGUAUUUUAGAUAAAGUUUACUUUCCAGAUUCAUUCUCGGAGCGUGCUAAACUUGUUACAGUCUUUAAAACUUGCAAACCAUGUAUAUUACUCUACUAAUGAGAAAUUACUCGCUUCAUAGUCAUAAUAUGGUAAACUCUUCCUACUGCCAAUAAUAUAGCCAAAUAUUCGACAGAAUACAUUAAAUUUACAGAAUGAAACUUCAUUUACUUAUAAGUAAAUGUGUAGUAUAAAUCGCAUUAUCAGACUAAGAGCUAGUCUAAGAGUGUGAUUUAAUAUUUUUAAAAACGCGUACUCUAGUGAAACUACACACCAGAGAAAGAUAACAUUAAAAAGGUAUAAGGCCAUAUCGCUAUUAUACAGAAACCUAGAACGCCAUCGUCUACUUCCACGUUUCAUACAAGUCGUCGCUGGAGUCGUCGACAGCAUGGAUAUAUUCAAAAAUGUUUUACCAAAGACAUCACACUUGGAAAUAUUUACAAUGAACUAUUUGGUGAACAAUUCGAAAGCCAUGAUGCAACAGCUGAUGCAGUCGCUUUGGCUAAAAUAUUCCAAAACCUGAAUAUACCCACCCAAUCUAGAUAACAUCGUCUGUUACGAAGGCAAAAGAAAAGAUGAAAUUCAGAGUAAACGUCAAUUCUGUGCCAACACAACUAAGCGCUGGACAAAACAAGAAAAUCCUCACCGAUCAAAUGGCUUGCAAAAUGUUACAGGGAGAGUGACGGCUUACCUCAGACAAGACAAGACAGAUCCAUAGCUUCAGCUAACCAGCUUUAGUGGUCACAGACUGAUAGACAGUUGCUUACGACACUUGGAUUCUGGGGUGAGCUCGUUCCUUUAAUUUUUCUUUUGGGUUUAUUUUGUGUCACUCUAUUAUUAAGCCACCAUAUAUUUGUGCUGAGAGUGACCGCCUACUCACUCUUACCUGUGCGUUGCCCUACUUCUCCCAGUGAUCCUAUUAUGUAUUAGUGUACUGUAUACAUACUAGAUACAGUAUUUUACUUUGUGCGUGUUAGCAAGCUUGUUUACUUGCAUAUACUUUUACCUGCUUUUAAGUUUUAGUGCUAAACAGUUGUGUUAUAUCUAUACUUUAUCUUAGGAUAAAGCACUUUGAUUUAUUUUUGUUUUAUUUGUUACACUAAGUGUUAACACUAGUUACAGUUGAUUGAUAUUUGAUAAGGCUAGGGUAUUGUUGCAGCCUACUGUCACUGUACGUUGUUGAUUGUUGCCUAUGCAACCUUGAUUGACACAUAGUACUGUUGCGCAACUUAGUGUAUUAUUAUUUUAGUGAGGACGUUUUGUGUAGCAUAUACGUAGAUUAUAGUAUUUUGUGUUGGCUCCAGUGGUGGCUGUUAGAGCCUUAGUGUAAACUAGUGUAGUCUAGUAUUCCCUCACGAUUGUUUAACUAGUGUCUCAGGUUGUUAUAGUAGCUGUUGUACUGUAGUGUUGUAUAGUGUUAACAUAGUGUGAUCAUUUAAACAUGAGGAGGGGAGUUACGUAACUUUGUUUAGGAAGAGCAGGCUAGGGAACGUGAGGAAAGACAUAGUAGAUUAGAAGCAGAGAAAGAUAGAUUAGAAGCACAGAAAUUACGAGUAGUAGCAGAGAAGGAAAGGUUAGAGUAAGAAGCUAGGUUGCAGAAAGAAAAGAUAGGAUAUGAAAAACAAAGUAGUUUAGAAGCAGAGAGAUUAAGAGUAGAAGCAGAAAAGAAUAGAUUAGAAGCAGAUAGGGAAAGAUUAGAGUUAGAAGUUAGGUUGCAAAAAGAAAAGAUAGAGUAUGAACGUAAGUUAGAACAGGAUAAGUUAGAAAUGGAAAAGGAGAAGUUAAUGUUAGCUAGAAAGUAAGAAACAGAGAAGGAGGAAGCAGAAAGUAGGAAAUUAGAAACAAAGCAUAAGUUUAAGACAGACUUAGAAAGGAUGAGUAAGAAAAAGGUAAAGGUUAAGAUGUCUCCCUUUGAUGAGAAAAUUGAUUCCAUGGAUGCGUACUUGAAUGUGUACGAAACGUACGCUGUUGCGCAGGAUUGGGAUAAAGAAUAUGGCCACUUAACUUAUCGUUCCUUCUAAAGGGUACGGCAAGAUAGGUUUCUGAUAGGCUUCCGUUGGAAGAUAGGAAGUAUUAUGAUAAACUGAAAGCCGCUUUGCUACGUCAGUUCGAACUCACUGACGAUGGCUAUAAGAAAACGUUUAGAACUGAAAGGCCUCGUGAUAAUGAGACCUUUGCGAUGUUUCUAGCCAGAAUAAGUAGAUGUUUAGACGGUUGGCUUAGACUAAGUAAGGUAGAGAAAACGUACGAAGGAUUAUUAGAUUUUAUACUUAGUGACCAAUUUUUAGAUGUAUGUAAUAGAGAACUAUACCAGAAUUUGAGUAGGAAGAGGUUAGUUAAAGCUAGGGAUGUAGCAGAAGAUGCAGAUUUGUUUGCAAAGACUCAUGGAGGUCCAAAGUAUGUCGUGAAUCGAACCAAUAAGGACCAGAGCCAUAAACCAUAUGAAAUACCUCAGAGACAGUAUCCUAGUAGUCGUAAUGUAGGCACUAGUAAUAGAGGUAGUAGCAAUGUUACUAAUAGAGGUAGAGGUUAUCAACCCUUUGGUGUACUGAAGUGUACUAAUUGUGGUCGUAUAGGGCAUAGCUCUUAUUACUGUAGGAGUGGAAAGUACGGUAAUAGUGCUAAUGCAGCAGCAGAGUUAGAGGUAGAACAGGAACAAGAAAGUAGUAAAGGGGAGAAUAGAAAUAGUAAGGAAAAUAGAAAUAGAGGUAGAGGCCGUGACCGAUCUAGGAGUAGAGGUAGAGGACGAAAUAGAGAAAGAGAUAGAGAUAGGAGUAAGUCAAGUAGGUCAGAGAGUGGAAAUAGUAUUAUAGAACUCAGUGAUGUAGAGGAGUUAGGUAUGCUUAGUGUAAGUACAUGUCCUACAAAACCCGGUACUUGUAAUGGUAGGGAUGUAAUCGCUAUGCGAGAUACGGGUUGUACAUGUGUGAUAGUGACUUAGUAGAAGCAAGUCAGUUUGUAGAGAAAACCCGUAGAUGUAAGUACAUAGAUGGGAGUGAACAUAGGCUAGAUGUAGCUAGAAUAGAUAUUGAUUGUCCGUAUUUUAAGGAUACAGUAGAGGCGUUGGUUGUAGAUAAUCCUACCAAUGAUGUUAUAAUUGGUAAUGUAGAAGGAGCUGUAGAACCUCAGUUUAGUAGCUUAGCGUCAGCAGUAGAAACUAGGGCGCAAGCCAAGUUAAGAAGCAAGUAAAGCUUAAAGAUCCGGCUCCGAAUUUAAAUAUAUCUCGAGAGGAAUUAUUAGAAAAGCAACAGAAAGAUAGGACUUUAGAUUUGUGUAGAAAGAAGGCUGAGGAAGGUACGAUUAAGCAGUGUAGAGGUAAGGGUUCAGUUAGGUUUGAGAUUAGGAAUAGAUUGUUAUAUAGAGAGUAUAUCGCCCAGAAUUUAGACAAAAGUAGACAAUUGAUUGUACCUAAAUGUCUUAGAAAAACUGUGAUGAAAGUUGCACAUGAUUCGUUACUGUCAGGCCAUUUAGGUGUAAGGAAAAUUAGUGAUAGGGUAUUAGGCGAAUUUUACUGGCCAGGAGUAAUGGCAGAGGUUAGGAGGUACUGUCAGUCAUGUAGUAUUUGUCAACGUACUAUAGCUAAGGGUAGAGUAAGUAAAGUUCCAUUAGGAAAAAUGCCUUUGAUUGAUACUCCGUUUAAGAGAGUUGCUGUCGAUAUCGUUGGUCCGAUCGAACCUAUGACUGAUAGGAAAAACAGAUAUAGUUUGACUAUGGUAGAUUAUGCUACUAGAUAUCCGGAAGCGAUAGCACUACCUAGUAUUGAAACUGAGAGAGUAGCAGAGGCAUUAGUAGAUAUGUAUAGUAGAUUAGGAGUGCCAGAGGAAAUGCUUACCGAUUGUUGAUCGCAGUUUACGUCAGACCUUAUGGCAGAAGUUAGUAGGUUAUUGUCAUUAAGGCAGUUAACUACAACACCGUAUCACCCUAUGUGUAAUGGUUUAGUAGAGAAGUUAAACGGUAGUUUGAAGCAAAUGUUGAAGCGUAUGUGUAGUGAGAGACCUAGAGAUUGGGAUAGGUAUUUGAAUGCUAUGUUGUUUGCUUAUCGUGAAGUUCCGCAAGAAAGUCUGGGAUUUUCUCCCUUUGAGUUACUUUAUGGUAGAACAAUCCGUGGACCGAUAACUGUGCUAAGAGAGUUAUGGGCUGGUAAGACGAAAAAUGAUGAGGUUAAAACCACUUACCAGUAUGUUAUGGAUUUGCAAGAAAAGUUGGAGGAUACGUGUAAGAUGGCUCAGAAACAGUCAGCAAAAAGUAGUGCUAGAUACAAGAAGUAUUACAAUAGGAAGAUAGACGGUUUAAGGCAGGUAGUAAGGUACUUGUAUUGUUACCUACGAAACAUAAUAAGUUGUUGUUACAUUGGAAGGGUCCUUACGUAGUAGUAGAGGUAGUAAAUAGACUAGAUUACAGGAUAGAUGUAGACGGAAAGUUGAAAACUUUUCACGCAACCAUGCUAAAACAUUACUGUGAAAAAAAGGAUGAUAGUAAGUCUAUACCAGAUAAGGGUAUUUUAAGUAAGGUUAGAGCAGCUAUUUUAGAGGAGGAUCAGAAAGAUUAUGACAGAUUAGAUCCGAAUGAAAGUAGUAAUGAGUUUUCGAGUAUGUAGAAAAGGAUAUAGUUUUGUGUUUUAUAAAGCAGGGUACAGAAACUUACAAAGAUGUAGAGUUACCGGUAGAAUGUAAACAGGAAGUAGUAGAUUUGUUAGAAAAUUUCUCAGAUGUACUGACAGAUAUUCCUGGGAAUGCUAACUUAGUUGAACAUGAUAUUCAGUUGUCAACUACAAAUCCGAUAAGAGUAAAGGGUGAUCCUAUUCCUUUUCAUUCACAAUCAGUAGUAAAAGAGGAAGUAGAUAAGAUGUUGGAGUUGGGAUUAAUCGAACCAUCAAAUGCUCUAUUGUCCUCAUAAGGAAAAAAGAUAACAGUAUAAGGUUCUGUAUAGAUUUUCGCCAAGUCAACAAACUGACGGUUUUCGAUGCUGAACCUAUGCCAAACAUGGAGGAGAUGUUUUCAAAACAAUCUAAGUAUAGAUAUUUUUCUAAACUAGACUUGAGCAAAGGUUACUGGCAGGUUCCUUUGUCUAAAAAGGCUAAACCCAUGACUGCUUUUGAAACCCCGAAAGGUUUGUUUCAAUUCCGUCAGAUGCCCUUUGGAUUAGUUAACGCACCUGCAACGUUUUGUAGACUGAUGCGGAAGGUUUUGAAGGACCUGGGGCACUCAGAUAGCUUCAUUGAUGAUAUCCUGGUGUAUACAAUCACAUGGCCAGAACAUGUAGUAGCAAGACUUAAGACAAGACUAAGAGAGGCUAAGUUAACAGCAAAACCGACUAAGUGUUUUAUAGGUUUUCAGAAGUUAGAAUGUCCAGGGCACAUGAUCGGAGAUGUCCAGACACUUAAACCAGUUCCAAAUAAGGUACAGACCAUACAGGAUGCCGAGAGACCGAAAACUAAGAAGGCAAUACGUUCAUUCUUAGGUGUAGUCGGAUUUUACAGAAAGUUUAUCCCCAAUUUUGCCGCCAUUGCAGUUCCACUCACAUAUUUGGCGAAAAAGGGUCAGCCAAAUCUUGUAGAGUGGGGUGAAAGUCAAGAAAAGGCUUUCCAGACUUUGAAGGCUAGCUUAAUGGUUCCGCCUAUUUUGAAGUUGCCAUAUUUAGAUCAGACUUUUAUAUUGAGAGUAGAUGCUUCAGAUGUAGGUUUGGCUCAGUAUUGCUUCAGGAAAGUGAUGGAGAGAAACUACCUGUAGCGUAUGCUAGUAGGAAAUUACUACCUAGGGAGCAAAAGUACUCAGUGAUAGAGAAGGAGUGUUUAGCGAUAGUAUGGGCAGUAGCUAAGUUUCACCGGUAUUUGUUCGGUAAGGACUUUGUAUUAGAGACGGAUCAUCAGCCGCUCACUUAUUUGAAUAAAGCUAAACUUAGCAAUUCCAGGCUAAUGAGAUGGGCAUUGGCAUUACAGCCAGAUAGGAUCAGUGUCAGAGCAAUUCCUGGUAGAGAAAAUGUAGGCGCAGAUUAUUUGAGUAGAGUGUAGACAGGUGGCUAUAUUAUAUGGUGUACAGAUAGUGACAGUGUGUUUUUUUUUUUGUUUGUUUGUUUCUUUUUGUUGUGUUUGCUAUUUUCAGUAUGUCAAUUUGUUUUCAUUUAAGAAAAUUAUAAAUUUUCUUUUUAAGGAGAGACGUGUGUCACAAAUUGAUAAACGGGCCUUAUUUUAUCUGUAGUGUAAAUGCAGGUAUUGCAUCAUCUUUUUGUAAAUUUUUGAGUUAUUGAGGUAAAUGUCAGAUUUCACGCAUAACAUACCUCUAAUGUUUUUCUGUAUUUCAUAACUUAAAUUUCCAUGUAAAUUUCAUUAAAUUCGGUUCAGUAAUAAGACAGUUGAUAUUUUAUAAACUUCAGUAAUUUAUGUUUUUAUCCCCAAAACCACUAUAACGGGCCUUAAAUUGUCAAUUUCAAUCCGCGCCAAAGUAGCAGAUUUCCCAGCUAUAUCGUGAAUCCCGUGAAAAUAGAAAUAGUUAUUGUCGCCGGUACGGCCUUUCCUGUCACAGAACAAGACAAAGAUCCACCAAGAUUUUGCAGUCAUUUUAAGCGUAGAAAAUGCUGCCAGAAAGUAUCUAGAAUGCUAUGGAUAGAAGAAUGUGUAAAUUUCGUCAUAAUACAUUAAAUAUCAUAAAUAGCUAGAAAAUUCAGAUCAAGAUGGGACUAACAAAAGGUAUCGUAUGUACUGUGGUAAGGUAGGUCAAUUCAGAAUUUAUUAUUGUCACAGUCACAACUAUUUCCGAGCACUUUGAUCAGUACUGCCAAUGUCACAGAAUGAAAAAAUGUGUAGCCAUACCUGGGCUUAGGAGCCCCUAUUGGUGCACAUUUUGCUUACAGUGUGAAUACGAUACCGACUGAGCUAUCGGGCUGCUUACAGUGUGAAUACAAUACCGAAUGAGCGAUCGGGCUGCUCACAGUGUGAAUACAAUACCGACAGAGCUAUCGGGCUGCUCACAGUGUGAAUACAAUACCGACAGAGCUAUCGGGCUGCUUACAGUGUGAAUACAUUACCGGCUGUGCUAUUGUGUUUUUAAUGAUUACCAUUCAAAACCUGUUACUAAAGGAGCUCUUAUCCUGUUGUAAGGACCCGUUUUAGCUUAUGUCUUGUUGGUAUAUUAAUAUACUUGUUGCGAUUUAAUCUCCUUUUGGGUCCUUUCAGCUUUGCACAUGGAAGAAGAAGGUCGUUUGCAAAUAGAUGCGAGGGUUGAUUUUGCCUCUUAUCGAAGGAAUCCUCGAUUGUUUAUACUUGCUGAUGUUUAAUAUAUGGACUUAAUUAUUCUAUGCGCAUUUAGAUAUUGUGAGAGAAUACUUAAAUAGUAUUUUGAAAUUUUUGUUGAGUGAUUUAAAUCUGUAAGUUAUGCAGUUUAUAUAGCAAUGAGGUAGGCUGGUAUUAUUUGCUUAUUUUUAAUAAAGUUUGUAUUUCUUUUACGGAUAUAUCUGUGUAAUUAUCGAAGGAUUUAAACAUUAAAUUGAUUAAUAGCUUUUCUAUUAUACUUUGCAGUUAUCAUAAUGACUACUAGUAUUUGUUUUGUGACCUGCUACAAUUUAAUCCUUGAGUAUUGAGGGUUUAUUUGUGUGUUACUGGAAGGUGUACACUUAAACGAGAGGUAAAAGAGCGGGUCGAUAUUCGAAGAUAAUAUGAAUUAUUAAAUUGGUAAUAUGUCUUGCAAAUUUAUGUAGGUAAUUAUGUGUUUUCCCACGCGAAUUUUGAUAACAAUGCAUUCCUUUGUAAUGCAGGGUUAAUAAUAGACAUGUGUAAACAUCACUGCUAGCAGUGUAGCAGACGACGUCUGUAUACAAGUGGCGAGUUAUUCAUGUAGUCUGUUAAAAUAUAUGUAGUAUAAACACGUGGAAGAGUCUAUUAUUCAUGAUACCUGCUUACAAACAGAGGGUUUAAGCAAUUUUAUCAGACUUAAUCUCGCUGAAAAGUAUUUUCUUCUAAAGUGAAGUAAUUAAAAUUCCAUUUCACAUAUAUAUUAAGCAAAGUUAAAUUUUUAUGAGCACGGAUCAAGUAAUUAAGUGCCCAUGUGUGAGGAAAAUAGGUAGGUUCACUUUUCAAUAUACCGCCGUUUCUUGCAGUAUGUUUGUUUUUAGUCCUGAUGGCUAAUGUAUAUGGUUUGUAUAGAAGAAUAUUGUUAUUAAAACAAUCGAAUGAAUAAAUAUAAAGCAAGUUGGCUUCCUACAAAAAAAAGUAGUUAUAACUUAUUGUCAUUUGUAGAAGGAUGACUGUUUUUCAGAUCUUAAUCUAUAGUCAGCCUUUCAGAUCUAAAUCUAUAGUUAGCCCAAUUGCUAAUGUCUGAUUGUAUCAGCCGGUACUGGCUUAGGAAAAAGGGUGCCAUCCUUAUUCUUUGUUUUGGUUUGUAACUGGAUUUUGAAUUUAUGAUUACUGCUUAAGGAUGAAGAGAAAGUUGCUAUUAUCUCCAUUGUGUUGGAUGGUAUUUGAUUUUGAAUUUAUGAUUAAUGUAUAUUGACUGUUUUUCGCCCAUUUGGCUAUCUUCGAUCGUUUCUAAUAAAAAAAAGAGAAAGUUAAGAAAGUUGCUAUUAUAUCCAUGUGUUGGAUGGUGCUUGAUUUUGAAUUUAUGAUUUAUGUGUAUUGACUGUGUUUCGCCCAUUUGGCUAUGUUCGAUCAUUUCUAUUAAACAAAAGAGAAAGUUAAGAAAGUUGCUGUUUUUCUCCAUUGUGUUGGAUGGUACUUGAUUUUGAAAUUAUGAUUAAUGUAUAUUGACUGUGUUUCGCCAAUUCGGCUAUGUUCGAUCAUUUCUAAUACAAAAAAAGGAGAAAGUUAAGAAAGUUGCUAUUAUCUCUAUUGUGUUGGAUGGUACUUGAUUUUGAAUGUAUGAUUAAUGUAUAAUGACUGUGUUUCGCCCAUUUGGCUAUGUCUGAUCAUUUCAAAAAAAAAAAAAAAUGGUUGCCGAGUAUAUCCAUUGUGUUGGAUGGUAACCGGAUUUUGAAUCUAUGAUUAAUGUAUAUUGAUGAACUCUAUUUAGCCCAUUGGCUGUGUUCGAUCAUUUCAAAAAAAAAUAGAAAAAGUAGGUUGCCCAUUACAUCCAUUGUGUUGGAUGGUAACAAGAUUUUUGAAUAUUUUGAUUAUUGUACAUUAAGUAUUUAGCCCAUUUUGCUAUGUUCGAUCAUUAAAAAAAAAAAUAGGUUGCGGUUGCCCAUUAUAUCCGUUGUGUUGGAUGGUAACCAGAUUUUGAAUUAAUGAUUAUUGUAAAUUGAUGAACUAUGUUCAGUCAAUUUGGCUAUGUUCGAUCAUUUAAUAAUAAAAUAAAAAAAAAAGUUUGCCGAUUAUAUCCAUUGUGUUGGAUGGUAACCAGAUAUUGAAUUUAUGAUUAUUGUACAUCGAUGAACUGUGUUUAGCCCAUUUGGCUAUGUUCGAUCAUUUAAUAAUAAAAUAAAAAUAGGUUGCCGAUUAUAUCCCUUUGGUUGGAUGGUAACCGGAUUUUGAAUCUAUGGGUAAUGUACAUUGAUGAACUGUGUUUAGCGCAUUUGGCUAUGUUCAAUAAUUUAAAAAAAAAAAGGUUUCGGAUUAUAUGCAUUGUGUUGGAUGGUAACCGGAUUUUUAUUUUAUGAUUAAUGUAUAUUGAUGAACUUAUUUUAGCCGAUUAUAAUCAUUGUGUUGGAUGGUAACCGGAUUUUGAAUUUAUGAUUAAUGUAUACUGAUGAACUAAGUUUAGCUCAUUUGGCUAUGUUCAAUCAUUUAUAAAAGAAUAGGUUGCCGAUUAUAUCCAUUGUGUUUGAUGGUAACCGGAUUUUGAAUUUAACAUUAAUGUAUAUUGAGGAACUGUGUUUAGUCCAUUUGACUCUGUUCUAUCUUUAACAAAAUGGUUGCCGAUUAUAUAAUUUGUGUUUGAUGGUAAACGGAUAGUUUCCGAUUAUAUACUUUGUGUUGGGAUGGUAAUCGGAUUUUUAAUUUAUGAUUAAUGUAUAUUGAUGAACUGUGUUUGCCCAUUUGGCUAUAUUCUAUCAUAAAAAAGAGAGUUGCUCAUUAUAUUCAUUGUGUUGUAUGGUAAUUAGAUUUUGAAUUCAUGACUAAUGUAUAUUGAUGAACUUAUUUUAGCCCAUUUGUUAAAUGAUUGACCAUUUCAGUCUUAAUGUCUGAUUGCCCACUAUGGACAUUGUGUAUGCUGAUGACAUGAUUUCGAAUUGAUGUGCUGCCAAAUUGCAAAUUUAUCAUAUUUUCCUUUCUAUCUCAAAGUUUAUAACGGGCUAGCGACAAAUUUACAUAUAUUAAUAUACUUUAUGCCAAAGUUUUAAGUAUACAAUUGAAUGCUUCUAGACAAAGUCACGAUCAACACGUCAAAAAAACCCAAGGAGUUCCGCAACACAGUCCAGGUGGUACAGCCACACCGCAACGCCAUCCAACCGUUUCAGCCCCGCAACUGGUGAAUCUGAACCCGCAACAACUUGUGGUUGUGGUGAGCCUUGUAGCAGAACACCAUUGUUUCGUGUUUGCGCAGCGAAGGAGCAUUUUGGCUGAUGAUUCGCUGCACUGUCAGACUGUGUUCAACAAAAUGGUGAGUUGGCUCCGACGUAGAGCAUUUAUAACGACUUGGGAGACCUCGUUUCAGCAAAUGUUAAAAUUACGAUGGUUAAUGGCGAAUUCGUAGAGUAAACAGUAUUGUUACGCUCAGAUCACAUUAAUAACAGUCAAGGUCAGAGUUUUCUUGUUACUGAAACAGACUGAUAGCUAAAAUUUAAGUCAAAGGCUCGGGCAAAAAAGAUAGAUUCAUUGCCGGUCCUUAAUGUACAUGAGUAUCUAUAUAUACCGUGCGCAAGAAAAUGUUAUGACUUUAGUUUUCAAGGUAUUUGUACCAAAUUUGCUUGUGUAUACGAACAUAGCUGUACGCGUUGUCAUGGGAAACACUCUAGGAAGUUUUUUUUUUCAGAAUCACUAGUAGCUACCAAUCAAUAUCGUUCUAGGUACUCGUCACUUGGACCUCGUGGAAUCUUCAGAUAGCCAAAACCGGCAUCUCAAAGAGGGUCCCUUAAACCUCCAUUCCCUCACCAAAACCCUUAUUGACUUAGCAGUAUUACAAGUCUAUCUUUCUUUAUAUCCGAAUAAAUAAGUGGCAGCUGAAUUUUAGUGGGUUCUAACAAAGGGUUUCCAUUACAAAACCAGCGUUCUAGAGUCCAAACAUUAUGUCAAACUUUUAUUUUCCGUUAGGCAAAACUCUGCUGUAGCUAAUGAAAAGUUAUAUAGGAAGAGCAGUUAAGCAGAAUUGCGGUUCCUUUUAAAGAAAUGCCUGUUCCAAAUUUCAGGCAAUCCGCGAUCAGUCUUGUGGCCAAAAAGAUGGUAGCUCGAGGAUUAUACACCAUCUUUCCUUCCCGCAGGGUUCUUAACGUUGUGUAAUAAGAAGUUCGUUUGUUUCAAGUGUACUGUAUUAGGCCUCUGUUCACAGGGACUCCACAUCUGCAUUUUAAACAUAUACUUUAUAUCAUAUGUAUUUGUAUAUUGACAUUUAUGUGAAGCUGUGACCAAUUUCUGCCAACCAUUAAUUUAAACGAAAUUAGAUACUAAUUGCUUGCUUUAGUAAAAUUGUUAAUAGUAAAAGUAAUGUAUUCAUACAGCUGUCUUGGGUUCUUCUUUUAGUAUUAUUAUUUCUGUGCCAAGCUAUCUUCGGUAAUGUGUUUUUAAUGAUUACCAUUCGAAACCUGUUACUGAAGGAGGUCUUAUCCUGUUGUAAGGACCCGUUUUAGCUUAUGUCUUGUUGGUAUAUUAAUAUACUUGUUGCGAUUUAAUCUCCUUUUGGGUCCUUUCAGCUUUGCACAUGGAAGAAGAAGGUCGUUUGCAAAUAGAUGCGAGGGUUGAUUUUGCCUCUUAUCGAAGGAAUCCUCGAUUGUUUAUACUUGCUGAUGUUUAAUAUCCCACCCUCCACUCCCCUUUUUUGCUUGUGUUCUCCUUUUUCUUUAUAAUUUCAGGUACAUCUUAUGUGUUCAAGUUCAGCCUACACCAUCCUUCCCUUCAGUCGUUACAGCUUCACAUGGAAUAUCGGCAGUUUUCACAUGUUGAAGUAUGGACAUGACAGUGUCUGUUUUCAAGAAAUGUGAAAUGUGUAUGUGUUAUAUAUAAACGUUUAACGUAGUCACUGAUUCUGAAUGUCUGUUUUUGUAUACCUGAUCUCCGUUGAAUUCUGACCCCAGGUUCGGCGGUUAGGUCAGCCUCCACCAGUAUAUCUAAACGUUGUGUAAUAAGUUUGUUUGUUUCAAGUAUACUGUAUUAGGCCUCUGUUCACAGGGACUCCACAUCUGCAUUUUAAACAUAUACUUUAUAUCAUAUGUAUUUGUAUAUUGACAUUUAUGUGAAGCUGUGUCCAGUUUCUGCCAACCAUUAAUUAAAACGAAAUUAGAUACUAAUUGCUUGCUUUAGUAAAAUUGUUAAUAGUAAAAGUAAUGUAUUC